AGAGUUUGAUCCUGGCUCAGGACGAACGCUGGCUGCGUGCUUAACACAUGCAAGUCGAACGCUGAAGCCUGGUGCUUGCACCGGGUGGAUGAGUGGCGAACGGGUGAGUAACACGUGAGUAACCUGCCCCUGACUUCGGGAUAAGCCCGGGAAACUGGGUCUAAUACCGGAUACGACCGUCGGACGCAUGUCUGGUGGUGGAAAGUUUUUUCGGUUGGGGAUGGGCUCGCGGCCUAUCAGUUUGUUGGUGAGGGUAAUGGCUCACCAAGACGACGACGGGUAGCCGGCCUGAGAGGGCGACCGGCCACACUGGGACUGAGACACGGCCCAGACUCCUACGGGAGGCAGCAGUGGGGAAUAUUGCACAAUGGGGGAAACCCUGAUGCAGCGACGCAGCGUGCGGGAUGACGGCCUUCGGGUUGUAAACCGCUUUCAGCAGGGAAGAAGCGCAAGUGACGGUACCUGCAGAAGAAGUACCGGCUAACUACGUG
rnacentral:rRNA from 1 species